rnacentral:lncRNA from 1 species
CUAAGGGCUUUGGAGAGCAAAAGCAAAAGAUUAACUAACUGCUCACAUGGGUCCCAGGAAAAUACAAAAGCACUACUGUUUAACAGGAAAGUUACUAUCCAGAAAUUAACCCACAAAGGUGGGAAGAGUAUUUACCCGCUAAUCUCUUUAUUCCCUCGCCUGACAAAAUAUCUGCAUUCCUGGGCGGCCUCAAGAAAUGAACUACAGACAUCUAUUCCCUUUGUGAUACCUCCUUGGAAUCAAAGUGUGGAGUGUAACAAUGUGCCUCCACACACUCACACUAGUUGAUGCUUCAUCUUGGUGAAAUCAAGUUUUUGGAAUUACCUUUCCUAAGAUCAUUCUAUUCACAGAGAAGGAGCUUAAUGAAACUAUGGUGGAUGUAUUCUAGACAGAAGAAGGAUUAAACCAAGAUAAAAACAAUGUGAAUGAGGAAAGUGGGAGUAACAGGGAUUCCAAGAGAAAGAAGGAGAACUGGUAAUUGAUGUGGGGCCAAACAGCACAGUACAGCAGAAAGGAUCUAAAUUUGGGAAUUAUACUGAGAUUUUCCAUUUGUCAAAAAUGAGGAGUACUAAUCAGUAGUGCUAUGGAAACAAGACACUAACAGUUAUAGUCCGGAAGAAGAGAUGAUAACAUCUGUCCCUAAAAAGAGAAAUAUGUCUUAACCUUAAAGAAUCAAGGACUCCAGGGAUCUUUAAGUUCUGGUAGUGAGGAGAGUCAAAAAGGUAUAUCUCACCAAAGAGCCAGUGAAAAGUGCUAUGUGUUCACCCCUCUUCAU